CCGAGCCAGCAUUGACAACUCGCGGGGAUUGUUUUCCACACCGUGGAAGCUUUGUUCUUUUCGUUUUUUGCAAUAAAUCUUGUUGCUGCUCGCUUUUUGGGUCCACAUUGCUUUUAUGAGCUGUACCACUCACCGUGAAGAUCUGCAGCUUCACUUCAGAGCCUAGCGAGACCACAAGCUCACUGAGAGGAACAAACAACUCCAGACGCGCUGUCUUAAGAGCUAUAACACUCACCGCGAAGGUGUGCAGUUUCACUCCUGAGCUAGUGAGACUACGAAGCCACUGGAACGAAGAAACUCCAACCACGUUUGAACAUCAGAAGGGGCAGACUCCAGACGCUUCAUCUUAAGAGCUGUAACACUCACUGUGAAGGUCUGCAGCUUCACUCCUGAGCCAGCGAGACCACGAACCGAUCUGAACAUCAGAAGGGACAGACUCCAGAUGCCCCACCUUAAGAGCUGUAAUACUCACUGCAAGGGUCUGCAGCUUCAUUCUUGAAGUCAGACCAAGAACCCAGCAAUUCCCAACACACAGGGACCAGCUUCUUUCCUAACUCACUUAGGCUCUUCGUGCUGCUCUGGCAACUAACACCCUUGGCUGCAGGGGCUUGGACACUACCCUUAGUCACUGACAAUUGUGUGAAGGCUGCUGUCGUUAACUUCACUUGAUCACCUUAGGCUCCUGUGAAGUGGUGAGCAAUUCAAACAAAUUCCUGUCGUCAAAUCAUAUAAGAUCAAUCAGAUUCGUGUUUUGCAACUACUUCUUGGCAAGACGUACGGGACUGACCGCAGUUGACACAUGCCAAUAGGGGGAGAAAUCUGAAGACGUGUUUCUGUGCAGUGGUGGCACCCAGGGGCUCUGGCCAGAGGAGGUCACAGGAAGAUGCCUAGCGGCCCGUGGAGCGACCUGCCCCGCAUUGUCACUUGACCGCUGGUGUGCGAAGGGGAUAACACUGUGUUCAAUGUGUUUGUAACCUUGCAUGAAAAAAUUGAAGAAAUGUCACUUUCUUCUCACCCUCUCCCAGGCCAAUCAUCUGUCAUGAAUUCAAUAUGAGGCAAACGUCUGGUGAUCACAGGGACAAACUAGGGAUAGGCCUUUGGGAGAGGAAUCUACUCAGUUUGUGUUCAACCGGACUAUCCAGGUAGGGGAGCUGGCUGGAGAGGGAGCCAGCAUUUGUUGACUGUAAUCUCUGAGCUAGGGUCGCAAUUACAUCUUCUGCAUCUUUGUGUGCAUAGUACCAAGCACAGAAUUAUCCAGAGUAGACACUCAAUAAUUGUUUGUUGGAAGAGUCAUUGUUGCUUUUGCUUCCAAGCCCCUCACAAAUUUCCACACAGUGCAGUUGAGCUCGCACAGUCAAUGAACAGUUUAUAUCUGAUUAAUAGGGGCUGAUAGUCUGAGGUGGCCUGCCUUCUUGCAGAGAAAGUUUGGGGUGGGUUACUGAGACAGGCUGGAUUCAUGGGGUGAGUUGGCUCAUGACCCAACAUAGCCAGGAAGCAAAGCGGAUAUUCCUCUGAAUUUUGCAGGCCAGGUGUGGCAUGUGUCUGAAAUUUCAGCUGCUUUAUCUUUAUACCCAUCAUUUUGGUAAGACUAUGUGUCCAAUCUGAAAUUCACCAACAGGACAGGGCCAGCUGCCAGAACUGAAGUCCCAAGAAGAAAACCAAGCAAAGCUGAGACACAAACCUGAACUUUUGAACUUGUCAAUCUACUGAGUCAACUAACUCUGGGACUCCCAUGUCUGGACUUCUUCAUGUGUGUUAACCUAUCUUCCUUGUUGCUUUUGCCACAAGGUGUUCUGGUUCUUGUAACCAAACGCAUCCCAUCUGACUCACUGGGCACCUGACUCCAGUUGUGUAAAACAGGCCCAGAUAGCUUGCCUUUGCCUCCGUUGGCGUGUGGUGGACAAUUGUAAAUUUCCUUGUAAGGUAUAUUAGUCCGUUCUCACGCUGUUAUAAAGAACUGCUCAAGACUGGGUCAUUUAUAAAGGAAAGAGGUUUAAUUGACUCACAGUUCUGCACGGCUGGGGAGGCCUCAGGAAACUUACAAACAUGGCAGAAGGGAAAGGAGAAGCAGGCGCCUUCUUCAUAGGGUGGCAGGACAGAGUGAGAGCAAGCAGGGGAAAAUGCCAGAUGCUUAUAAAACCAUCAGAUCUCAUGAGAACUCACUAUCAUGAGGACAGCAUGGUGGUAAUCACUCCCAUGAUUCAAUUACCUCCCACAGGGUCCCUCCAACGACAUGUCGGGAUUAUGAGAACUACAAUUCAAGAUGAGAUUUGGGUGGGGACACAACCAAACGAUAUCAUAAGAAUCCUGAUUUUGUUUGGAAGGACAGCGUGCCUGGUUCCAGGACUUGAAUCAUUCGUUUGUCCAGCAUCUCCAUGCUGUGUACGCUACCCGCCUGUUAGUCAUUGACACUGUCUGCUCCUGACAUCCACCCAUCAAUAUUGUCAUUGCUCAAUGAUCCAGGAUCACCGAGAGCAGAUGAGCCUCCUGAUGCAUGGUCAGAAGAUGGAGAAAUUGCACUGCAGAGAAAUCUUUAAAAGCAAUUACCUAAUACUGCAGAUUGCUGAACUGUACCCACACCCAAGACUGAGCAUUGGAUCAAUCCAGAAUAUACAUCAGGUGUUCUGCAAUGUCUGCCUAAAACCAUGACUCUGCCUCCUCCAGCUGUUGCUACAUCUCACUAUGGGUUUCCUGUGACAUUUUGAGCAAGUAUGCCUCUGUGACUGGGGUUCUUACACUCCAGAAUGGAUGAGAAGCACCGUAAGUGGCUUUUAAAAUGAAUAUUCCCUGGCCCUUCAGUCGCUCUAUAGGUCAAGAAUCUGAAUUCUCAACCUGUCUAGAAGGUUCUGGUUUUAAUGGUCUGUGGGCUGCACAUUGAGAAACCUGUUCAGCGAGUGCAACAAAGGUUCCACAUGUGAGAAAGGAAGCAUCAGGUCUCUUGAGCCUGUUCUUUAAUCUGUAGGCUGCACCUUCUCUUUAAAUUCUGCUAAUAACACCAUGCGAGAAAACACCCGAGCUUGAAAAGCCCAUGUUCCAACAUAACUGUCCUUCACCACUCUGGAAAAUUAAUGGUUUGUUUCGAUUAUCCCUUUGUUAAACUCCAAAGUCAAAGAGCUCUGAAAGGCAUACGGUUAUUUUAAGUUUCAGGUGAUUUCUGUUGCCAAAUAUUUUAAAAAUUUAAAAUUGCUACGUGACCUCUUAGUAGUACUAUUAGAUUUCCUGACAAUAAAAAUAAGUCUUUUGGUUUCACCAUUUAUAGUUAGUACAGCUAAUAUUAAGUAUAAUUUUAAAAGCCUUUUAUUUUCUCAGAAAGAAAAAAUAAUCAAAAUCUGCUCAGUGUGGUAUUGAAUAAUUAAAAACAAAAGAACAGUAUCUUCACAUUAGUGUUUAAUAUUAAUUGCUUUUUUACCCUUGACACUGGUGCUAAUUAAAUUUUCAUUUUAUUUUCCAUGACUUGUUUAAACAGUUUUUGCAAAUUAUUGCUAAUCAGCCUAAUAAAACUGAAUCACCUAUUAAACAAUUUUGUUUUGAAUUAAAUGGCAUUAAAAUAAUUCUGGCUGCCUUGUGUUAUAAUGUGUUACAAGAAUACCAACCGCUACAGGUAAUAUGCCUUAGCUUUUACACAUGCUUUAAAUAAAUCUACGGAUGUAUUUACCUACAUGCACAAACAUGCAAAGAGGCAGUGUUGGUUAGUUGAAUGGGUUUCCGGCUGGAUUUAUUUCCCGUCUACUGUCUUCUCAAGAGGAAAUCUAAGGCAAAUCUCUUCAACAACCUGAAACUUGGUUUUCAUCAUCAGCAAAAUAAGG
rnacentral:lncRNA from 10 species